rnacentral:lncRNA from 1 species
AUGUGUAAAAGCACAGCCCUACCAUUUCUAAUACUAUUGGAACUAAUCAGAACUAUUUCCCAAAAAUCUCUGAGUGUGAUUAAACAGAACACACUGUGGAAUUUUUCAUGCAGUUUGGGAGACAGUUCAAAGCACUGUCAAAGUAAAGCUACUGCUUCAAAAAGAGCAGAUGGGAAAUGUAUAUUCAAUUUCCACAUGGAUUGGAAUGAGGAACUGAGCCAGCCCUGGACCAGCCCUAAGCUGGAGGCAGGAUCGAUAGUGCUGUACUUCCAGCCCACAGAAACACAAGAGAUCUCCUUGAGAAUCCUGAUCCCAACAGACUUCCAGGCUUUUUCUCAGAGAGUAGAGCACAGCUGGUUCAGGCAAAGUCCAGAGUUCAAGCAAGUUUACCAGAGCCCAAGCCCACUGUGAAGAUGUAGUAUCAAAAAGAAUUAAAAGCUGCAGUACGUUAUGUGCGUUACAGUCACUGUAGCCUGACGCAUCAUUUUUCUUUUGCCUUUUCAACUUUGCAAGCUAAAAAAGUGCAGUGUUAAAAAGCUGAGUUAUUGAAAACUGCAACGUGGGGUUUGUUUAGAAGGUUUUGGAAUUGUGCAUCCACACCACACAUUUCAGGGAGACUACAUGCAGAAGGAUCAGAAUGUUGCCAGUUUUCAUCAGGAGCUUUACUUUUACCUCCUUUUUGCUUCUUACUUGUCCUGUUCUCUCUACCCUAGCAUCUUCUCUUUCUUUCGUACACUUUCACAAGUUAUUUUUCUGCCCACAUACAUUUUCUUGUUUUUAACCACAGUGUAUAUUUGCUGAAGCCUGGACAGUCCCAGAACACUUGAACAUGGUAAACAUGACAUUUCACAAUGCUUGUUACACUUGGAUAUAGAAAACAUGAUACUUCCUGAAUAGUCAGUUUCACAAAACUAAACUUUAUGGAGUAGAAAAAACAAUAGCUGCAGAAAUGUAGGUCACACAGAAAGCUUUUUCUUCCACUUGUUAUUAGUGGAAGUUGCUCUUGCAAAAGAUUAGUUUCAUCCUUCUGCUGGGUAAGGAUAGAAACCAGAAGUACAAUAGCCAACACAUUACUGUUCUGCAGGGAAUUUGGCAUCCAUAUACAUCUACAAGACAACUGUGAAUCAUGCAUAUAUUAACAGGUUGUAAAAGAUUUAUCGUGUUUUUAACUGAUGUUGAGUUCUCAGAAACAAUUUUACAAAGACAGUUGUUCAAGAUUCCUAUGUUUUAGUUUGCUGGGGCUUGAUAUAAACAUUUUCUAUCUAGUCUUCUGAGGUUUUGUGUGUGUGUGUGUGUGUGUGUGUUUGUGUGUGUGUGUGUGUGUUUGCUCAGAGUCACGCCAGCCAAAACCUGCUGGAUUUGUCUGAUGUGAAACUGAACCACUGAGAAACCUCUGAGCUUUGCAGUCACAAGCUGGAAGAAAAUCUGGCCUCAGUACUGUGUACAGUUCUGUGCAGGCUGAUGUUCACUGGCCUUCUGUCUUCACUGCAGUAUUGGAGUCCUGCAUCACGCAUUCACCAAGAGCUUUUCUUACCUUGAACACAUAGAGCACAAUGUAAUUUGCAAACUUUUAUUACAGGUAAUCUUCAUCACAUUUUCUAUGCUUUUGAUUUUUUUUUCCUUACUAUUCUGCAGUAGAGGUACAUUAAAAUACCACUUUUCAAGACUAAGGCUAUUGCUAAAAAUAAACGCUAAAAUAAGCCUUGUUACUUGAAAGGA